ACAAUAGUACGGGCUUGGAUCUCACGCAGUUCCUCCCAACCCUGGUCGCGAAUCCAGCGACGGAUCUUGGGAUCAAGGCGAUCAUAAACGCCUUCAAGAUCCGAUGCGGAGGUUGCUGAGCUCAUCACCGCUGCCGUUCUGCCCACUGCUUGGUUCNNCGAGAUCUGGAGCAUCUUCGGCUAUCUGAACCGCGCCGAGCAACUCCCGCCAAUUAGAGCCCGGGUUCUGCUCCAAAACCGAAAGCAGUUGCACAAAGGCCUUGACCGUCGUGCGCGGUGUUCGAAAGUAGGCUUCGCCGAUCCGUUUGUUGCAAUGAUCCAUGAACGCCGUCAGAGCUUCGUCAGGAACUAGAUUCUUGGACGGGUCGCCGGACGCGAAGACCGACCGGAUAUUGGAAAGUAGAACAAUCAAAUCCUCUGGAGUGAGGCUCUUCAGCUUCAUGACCGGGCCGGAAAGAUCGAUAAGGCCUGCGGUCGCAAACUGGUUCUCCGCUAAUCGCGACUGGAGCGCUUCGUAGCUGUAUAGACCACGCCUGGUAU
rnacentral:misc_RNA from 1 species